rnacentral:rRNA from 1 species
AUUGAACGCUGGCGGCAGGCCUAACACAUGCAAGUCGAACGAGUGGCACACGGGUGAGUAGUGUCUGGGAAACUCCCUUAUGGAGGGAUAUCAACACUAGAAACUGUACCUAAUACCGCAUACCCUCAGAUGUGCCCAUAUGGGAUGAGCUUGUUGGUGGGGUAACGGCUCACCAAGGCGACGAUCCCUAGCUGGUCUGAGAGGAUGACCAGCCACACGUGAACUGAGACACGGUCCAGACUCCUACGGGAGGCAGCAGUGGGGAAUAUUGCACAAUGGGCGAAAGCCUGAUGCAGCCAUGCCGCGUGUAUGAAGAAGGCCUUCGGGUUGUAAAGUACUUUCAGCGGGGAGGCGUUACCCGCAGAAGAAGCACCGGCUAACUCCGUGCCAGCAGCCGCGGUAAUUC